GAUGAACGCUAGCGACAGGCCUAACACAUGCAAGUCGAGGGGUAGCAUUGAAGUAGCAAUACUUUAGAUGACGACCGGCGCACGGGUGAGUAACGCGUAUGCAACCUACCUACUACAGGGGAAUAGCCCGAAGAAAUUCGGAUUAAUGCCGCAUAAUACAGGGGCACCGCAUGGUGAUAUUUGUUAAAGAUUAAUUGGUAGUAGAUGGGCAUGCGUUCCAUUAGCCAGUUGGUGAGGUAACGGCUCACCAAAGCAACGAUGGAUAGGGGAACUGAGAGGUUUAUCCCCCACACUGGUGCUGAGACACGGACCAGACUCCUACGGGAGGCAGCAGUGAGGAAUAUUGGUCAAUGGGCGAGAGCCUGAACCAGCCAAGUCGCGUGAAGGAUGACUGCCCUAUGGGUUGUAAACUUCUUUUGUACUGGGGUAAAAAAGAGGACGUGUCCUUUCUUGCAAGUACAGUACGAAUAAGCAUCGGCUAACUCCGUGCCAGCAGCCGCAGUAA
rnacentral:rRNA from 1 species